GGCCUUGACAUACUAAGAACUUUCCAGAGAUGGAUUGGUGCUUUCGGGAACUUAGAUACAGGUGCUGCAUGGCUGUCGUCAGCUCGUGUCGUGAGAUGUUGGGUUAAGUCCCGNAACGAGCGCAACCCUUUUCCUUAUUUGCCAGCGGGUCAUGCCGGGAACUUUAAGGAUACUGCCAGUGACAAACUGGAGGAAGGCGGGGACGACGUCAAGUCAUCAUGGCCCUUACGGCCAGGGCUACACACGUGCUACAAUGGUCGGUACAAAGGGUUGCUACCUCGCGAGAGGAUGCUAAUCUCAAAAAAGCCGAUCGUAGUCCGGAUCGCAGUCUGCAACUCGACUGCGUGAAGUCGGAAUCGCUAGUAAUCGCGGAUCAGAAUGCCGCGGUGAAUACGUUCCCGGGCCUUGUACACACCGCCCGUCACACCAUGGGAGUUUGUUGCACCAGAAGUAGGUAGUCUAACCGCAAGGAGGACGCUUACCACGGUGUGGCCGAUGACUGGGGUGAAGUCGUAACAAGGUAAGCGUAGAUGA
rnacentral:rRNA from 1 species